rnacentral:misc_RNA from 1 species
GAUGAAGAACGCAGCGAAAUGCGAUAAGUAGUGUGAAUUGCAGAAUUCAGUGAAUCAUCGAAUCUUUGAACGCACAUUGCGCCCCUUGGUAUUCCAUGGGGCAUGCCUGUUCGAGCGUCAUUUGUACCUUCAAGCUCUGCUUGGUGUUGGGUGUUUGUCUCGCCUCUGCGUGUAGACUCGCCUUAAAACAAUUGGCAGCCGGCGUAUUGAUUUCGGAGCGCAGUACAUCUCGCGCUUUGCACUCAUAACGACGACGUCCAAAAGCACAUUUUUACACUCUUGACCUCGGAUCAGGUAGGGAUACCCGCUGAACUUAAGCAUAUCAAUAAGCGGAGGA